GAUGAACGCUAGCGGCAGGCCUAACACAUGCAAGUCGAGGGAGAAGCCUUUCGGGGCAGAAACCGGCGCACGGGUGCGUAACGCGUAUGCAACCUACCUUUCACAGGGGGAUAGCCCGAAGAAAUUUGGAUUAAUACCCCAUAAUAUUGUUGGAUGGCAUCAUCUGAUAAUUAAAACUGCGGUGGUGAAAGAUGGGCAUGCGUCCUAUUAGCUAGUUGGAGUGGUAACGGCACCCCAAGGCUACGAUAGGUAGGGGUCCUGAGAGGGAGAUCCCCCACACUGGUACUGAGACAGGGACCAGACUCCUACGGGAGGCAGCAGUGAGGAAUAUUGGUCAAUGGUCGGAAGACUGAACCAGCCAUGCCGCGUGCAGGAAGAAUGCCUUAUGGGUUGUAAACUGCUUUUAUAUGGGAAGAAUAAGGUGUACGNGUACAUUGANGACGNUNCCA
rnacentral:rRNA from 1 species